rnacentral:lncRNA from 1 species
UGAAGGGUUUCUGUUUCUCCUCCAUCUGGUUUGAAAAAACAUGGGAGGACUGGUCCUGUGGAUGACGGCAUACCCUAUAACGAGAGUGGUGAUGCGAUAUGAUUGUAGGGGUCACCGUAAGUGAAGUACGAUUGUGACCGUAGUUAACAUAUAGGACCACUGUGGUUGGCAUAACCAUGGUUAAAGAUCAUUUCAUAGUUUGGCAAGCCACAAAUUGUUCUUAUAAAUAAAAUGAAUUAGUCAUUCCACACGGGUAGUUAGAAAUCCA